AUGCCCUUGCAGAAGGAUUUACCGCCGAGGCACAGAGAUAGCAGUGUCCCCUCUCUUUCUGGGGCAGAUGGAGCUUCUGUGCCCAGCCGGCAGAGGGGGAGCCUUGGGCAAGGGACCAAGGGGUCCCUUGGGGGACCCCACAGAAAUGACACAGCCUGCCAGCUCCUUCGGGGCAGAGGGAGAGUCCCAGGGUGCUCAGGAGUGCUUGGCUCAGCAUUCCCAUCAUCUUCCUUCUCCGUCUCCUCCUCCUCCUCCUCCUCACACAGGCUCAACUUGGAGUUGCCAGAGGACAGCAGUGAGUCUACCACUUCUGACACGGAGAGUGAAACCAGCUGCUCUUCAGGAACCUCUCUGGACUCCUGGAGCAUCAUCUCCUGCACUACCAUCACGGAGAGCGAAACCGGACAGAAUUCACGGGCAUCUACCCCCACUCCUGUGCAGAAAGCAGACUGGCUUCAUGCUUCUGCGGUCCAGCCUGGCCUCAUGCAUCCCAAGGCUGGCCCAGGGGGGCAGCAUGACCAUGACACUUGCCAACCCUGCAGGAAAGAAGUGGUCAGAUGCCACAGGGCCAGCAGUGUGCACCAACACCAGCAACACGUCCAGGUCCAGCAGGCUGCUCCCAGCCAUCCUCCAGAGGUACCCAAAUUCCGCUCCAUGGAAAUGAAGACGUCUUUGACACAAAAGAAAUCCAAGGAGGCCUUGAACUACUUCACCUCAAAUAAGAAAGAGGAGCAGAAACUGCGCCUGCCAGCCGAUGGGGACAAGCCUCCACAAAAUGAUCCAGCCUCUGCUUCGAAAGUAUCGAAGCAAGAAGAAGAGCCUAAUAUGAAGGCGGUUCCCAUGGUGUGGGACCUGACCUUCUUAGACAAGGCUGUGAAAAAUCAGCUGGAGUGUGCAGUGGAAAAAAUGUAUAUCCAAAAGCAAUUUGGACUGUCAGAGAUGGUUUUCUCCUGUGAGGAGAGCUUUUCAGCCACUGUCCUGGAAGCAAGGACAGCUGUCCCAGCCACAGCUCCUCAACUACCCCAAUGGCAAGCAGAGCCACAUGUGGUGGUGACUCCUGUGGAGAAGGACCCACCCUGUGCGGAAAAGAUUGUGAACAGUCAUCCGGAGGGGCCUGAUGUACAAAAGCAGACACAAAGGCUCUUCAGGCUACCAAGAAAGAUCCUGGCUUCCAUGAAGAGAUUUUUUGACCACAUCCUGGGAAAAAAAGACUCCCAGACUGAGCCUGUCCACUCUGUGCCAGCAGCUGUUCUGAGAGGGGAACAAGGGAUGAAGCCUCAGGAGGAUGGGGACAGAUCCCGCCAGAAAAUGGCGUGUGGAGGAAGAGCCAACGGCAGCAGCACGGCCAGCAAGACGACCCUGCCUGGCACCAGCAAGAAGAACCGGGGCCCUGGGGCAGUAGGGGAUUCCCCUUCCACCCAGGCAGAGCAGGCGUCGCCACAGAGCAAGGGAGCUCGGUGGGGUCAGUCAGAUAAGAAGGGUGAGGGCCCAAGCAUCUCCACUACGGGGGACAUGGGGACACCAGCACCUCCAAGAAGAAGGUCCCCACAGAGAAAACACAGCUCCAAUGAGGACAGACCCUCAGCUCUGCCACGGCCUCCGCACCACAUUUGGAUCUGUCUUGAUAUGCCCCACAUGACAAAGGUCCUCGCAGCACCAAGAGACUGCCGCAAAGCCAAACAUAUUGCUGAAGAUCUGCAGAAGCAGGUGCUGGCUUCGCAGUUGGAGCAGCUCCCAGACAAUGCGGGGCAACCAAGGAUAGACCCAGCAGCAGAGGGCACCGGGGCCGUGCCACGCAGAAGACAUAGAGGGGCACGGAAGGACAAGGGAUGCUCCCAGGACAGACCCGUCUUCGCAAGACUCCGUCCUAAGUGCAUCAAAGCCCCAAGCCACACCUUGGUCCCGAAGGAGAGUAUCUGGGGGUGGCCUUCCCCUGAGGCUUUCAGAGGCAGCAUGGGCUGCCAAGCUACCUGGAGGUGAGUGUGGCAGAGAAUCAUAAAGUCAGAGAAUAACAGAAUAGCUUGGUUUGGAAGGGGCCUUAAAGAUCAUCCUAUUCCAAUCCCCCUGCCAUGGGCAGGGACGCCACCCACUAGAUCAGGCUGCCCAGGGCCUCAUCCAGUCUGCCCUUGAACAUCCCCAGGGGUGGGGUAUCUGCAACUUCUCUGGGCAACCUGUGCCAGUGCCUCACCACCCUCUGAGAGAAGAAUUUCCCCCUAAUGUCCAGACUAAAUCUAUCCUCUUUUAAGACCAUUCCCCCUUGCUCUGUCGUUAUCUACCCAAGUAAGGAGUCCUCCUCCAUCUUUUUUAUGAGACCCCUUUAAGUAUGAAAUGGUCAUAAUGAGGUCUCCCCUGAGCCUUCUCUUCUUCAGGCUGAACAUCCCCAGCUCUCUCAGCCUUUCUUCAUAGGAGAGGUGCUCCAGCCCUCUGAUGGUCUUUGUAGGCCUCCUGUGCACUCACUCUAACAGGUUCACAUUUGUUGUGCUGGGGGCCUCAGACCUGGACGCAGUGCCCCGCGUGGGGCCUCACAAGGGCAGUGCAGAGGGGGACAAUCACCUCCCUCCACCUGCUGGCCACUGCUCUGCUGAUGCAGCCCGGGAUGCAGUUGGCCUUCUGGGCUGCAAGCCUGCACUGCUGGCUCACGUUGAGCUUUUCAUCUACCAGAACCCCCAAGUCCUUCUCUGCAGGGCUGCUCUCAAUGAGUUCUUCUCUCAGUCCGUCCUCAAGUCUGGGAUUGCCCUGACCCCGGUGCAGCACCAUGCGUUUGGACUUGUUGAACCUCAUUAGGUUCCCAUGGGCCCACUUCUUUAGGCGCUGUCUAGGUCCCUUUGGAUGGCAUCCCUUCCUUCUGUUGUAUCAACUGCACCACUCAGCUUGGUGCCAUCUGCAAACUUGCUGAGGGUGCACUCAAUCCCAUCGUCUGCAUCACUGAUGAAGAUAUUAAAAAGCACCGGUCCCAGGACAGACCCCUGAGGGACACCGC
ensembl:lncRNA